AUUUGGAUCCAAUUUCAGUCCUAUAAAGGGGCUUAAUUUUCAGUUAAAAAGUAGAAGAACCAAAGCUGGAAAUGGUGUUUGUUUGGUUGUAUCUGCUACUGGUAAAAAUUCUGGAAUUAGCAAUGAGUCUGGUGUUGUUAAUUGGAGCAGAUUUUAUCUCAAUUUCACUGGAUUUCCUUUCCCUCUUGGCCCUUUCCUCAAUAGACAAACCAUUAGAACUGAGGCUGUGAAAGAUACCAUAUGGUUAUUUGAGCAAGAGCAAGCACUCGGAUUCAGCAGUGUUUCAA
rnacentral:misc_RNA from 1 species